UGUCCACCUGACUAUUCCAAGGUGGCUGCCCCAUUAUGGAUAACAAGAGAAUGUUGAAUGUCGACGCAAGAGAAGGUGAAUACUAGAUGAUCCAUUGAGUAUUACUUAUUGGAUUUGUUAGUUUGCCCUGCAGUUUCUAAUGUUCCUAACAAUAUUUUUCUCACCGCCAGGUUAUCUGUGAAGGAGGUUUCUUUAUAAUGAUGUUUUUAUCUCAGCAUAUGUUGGCCUACUUCUGAAUACUAGAUGAUACUUUUUUUUUAUUAGCUCAUUAUCCCUGCUAAAGUGCAGUAAGUACUGGAUGUUUUUCUGAGGAAGGUAGAAUGGCUACUCAAGAAAAAGAAAAAGAUAUUGCAAUGAUACUAAGAAAAGGGAAAUUCAAGGCCAUCUAUUACAGUAGCCAAAAAAAGGUA